UAAUCACUUGUCUUUUAAAUGAAGACCCGUAUGAAUGGCAUCACGAGGGCUUUACUGUCUCCUUUUUCCAGUCAAUGAAAUUGAUCUCCCCGUGCAGAAGCGGGGAUAACAACAUAAGACGAGAAGACCCUGUGAAGCUUAAAGACGACAAGCAGACCAAACUAAGUACCUCCCAUAAAAGAACUAAAGCACCGGACCCUGCCCUAAUGUCUUCGGUUGGGGCGACCACGGAGAAACAAAAAACCCCCAUGUGGACUAGAAGCACCAUUACCCUCUUUUUCUCUCCUACAACCUAGAGUUACCUCUCAAAGUAACAGAACUUUUGACCAAACAUGAUCCGGCCACGCCGAUUAACGAACCAAGUUACUCCAGGGAUAACAGCGCUAUCCCCUUUUAGAGCCCA
rnacentral:rRNA from 1 species